AGUGAACGCUGGCGGUAGGCCUAACACAUGCAAGUCGAACGGCAGCACAGUAAGAGCUUGCUCUUACGGGUGGCGAGUGGCGGACGGGUGAGGAAUACAUCGGAAUCUACUUUUUCGUGGGGGAUAACGUAGGGAAACUUACGCUAAUACCGCAUACGACCUACGGGUGAAAGCAGGGGAUCUUCGGACCUUGCGCGAUUGAAUGAGCCGAUGUCGGAUUAGCUAGUUGGCGGGGUAAAGGCCCACCAAGGCGACGAUCCGUAGCUGGUCUGAGAGGAUGAUCAGCCACAUUGGAACUGAGACACGGUCCAGACUCCUACGGGAGGCAGCAGUGGGGAAUAUUGGACAAUGGGCGCAAACCUGAUCCAGCCAUACCGCGUGGGUGAAGAAGGCCUUCGGGUUGUAAAGACCUUUUGUUGGGAAAGAAAAGCAGCAGGUUAAUACCCCGCUGUUCUGACGGUACCCAAAGAAUAAGCACCGGCUAACUUCGUG
rnacentral:rRNA from 1 species